UCCAGCCUGGGCAACAGGUUGAGACCUUGUCUCAAAACACAAACAAACAACACAAAAACAAACACAAAAUGCAUAGAUUUGACUGCAUCAAAACUAAAAGCUUUAUUAUGACACACUGCCCCCCCACACACACCCUACAAAGUUAAAAGAUAUACUACAGACUGGGAUAAAUAUUUGCAAUGUAUGUGAUAGACAAAGAGUAACCAGAAUAUAUAAAGAAAUCUUAUAAAUCAAAAAGAGAAAGAAAAACUCCAUGGAAAACUGGGCAGUGGACGUUGACAGGCAGGUCAUGUAAGAGAAAACUCAAAUAGCCAAGAUGCUUAUCCCCAAUAAUACUCAGAAAAACGCAGAGUGAAGUAACAAUAGCACAUCUUUUCACUCCUCAGGUUGGCAAGUGUCUUAAAGUCUACAUCAAAUAUCGGUGAGGGCGUGAAGCAAUGGGGUCUCUUGAACACUGAAGACAGAAACAGGCACCAGCACCAUCAUUUUGGGGAGAAAUUUGGCAUGAUCUUGUCAAGUUGAAGUGGUAUUAGACCAGAAAAACUACCAUCUGGGAGAGAAGGGGAAAGUGAAAAAGACAGACCUAGAAGCGAAGGAGAGAAAAGCAUUUUGUGGAUGCCUAUUUUUACAGGCUCAGAAGCCGCCAUCUGUGGGAGGGGGAAAGUCCCUAGUUCAUUGUUAUCUGACAAUCGGAGAAAAAGGUACUUUUUAAGAAAGUCAGCCAACUCCCAACUCCCAUGGCCUGAUGUCCCUUCAGUUUGCAUUUCCCUGUUCCCUCCCAGAGCUAUUUUGGGGGACUUGAUUUGCAUAUUAACCACCCUCACCCCAAAACUCUAAGACACAAUGGCAGCAACGUG
rnacentral:lncRNA from 1 species